AUAGAUUACAGACAGCAAAGGUGAAGCUGAAGACCACAGCUGGAACAAAUGGCUGAAACACUUGAGGUCACUGAGGAAAAAACAAGCUGUUUCCCACAAGUCUUGUGUAGUGAGGUGCAGCCUGAGUUCUCAGGGCCUCCUCCAGAGAAAGUUCUCUCCCAGACACCACCACCUUCUUCACAGCCCUGAUUACAGGAGCAGAUCCCUUUGUGAACUGGCUCAGCCACUGCUCUGCCUCCACCAGGGAACUGCCUUCACCAAGAGGAGAACUCAACACUUCAUCAACUAGUCCAAUCUGCCUCCCCAAAUGUGGAUCAACUUUUUUUGCAC